ACCCAGCCGACGAGUCUCAAAUAGGACGAAAUACACGUCUUGUAU
rnacentral:hammerhead_ribozyme from 1 species